UAGAAUCCUAAAUAAACAAGGUUGGAUUUGAUUUUGUUUGUUAUCUUCCGAAAAUUUUGUUACCGGUUAUUCCUAUAUAUAUAUCAUGUAUAUUCAUUUGAUCUAGAAACCGGGGGUGGCAAAGACGUCAUUCUAGUAUAUUUUUUUUCUUAUCUGAUUAUGUAUAUCAAGCAUUAAAAGGCCUAAUGGCCUCCCCCAGACAUUUAGUUGUAUGUGGUACAAGUUAUUAUAUUUUACAAACAAUGCUAUAUUGGUAACUUGUAUAUUCUGCAUUGGAAGUUGCACAAUCUAGUAUUAAUUUCCUUCUUUUUGAUAGUUCGAGAUAGCUUCGAUGAUUGUAACCACCAGUAGAACGUUUCUUUCGGCGGCAUGCGCUUUGGAAUAUUUAAAGGCUAAAGCUGGAUUUAGAGCUUGGCUUGAGCCAGUCAGCUUUUCAAGCCAUAUAUACAACAUCCGUGUUCUAAAUAUUCAACAGGGAGUUAACUUGAGAAAAUGGAAAUAAGAGAUAUGUAAAAGUCUCUUUAUGUUAUCAAGUAUUGAAGCAAAGUUUAUUGAGUUGUCAAGAUAAACGACUUCCAUAAAUAUAGAUUUCCUUGGUGAAAGUCUUGGAUUUGAAGGUAUAUGGUUGUAUUUGUGUUGAUUAAAUAUUUUCUAGAGAUAUAAAGGAGACUUUGAUGUCAUUAUUUUGCAAUGUAUCAUGUAUGUAUAGUUUUUACUCUUAUGUGUUGGAAAAUCGUUAUUUGAGUUCAUCAUAGUUGCUCGACAA